AUGUUUUCUCCCUCCUUGCAGUUUUUGCCGCAAAUCAUCCCGAAGGUGGAGAUGAUGGGUGCUCACCAGUCAUUUGUUUCGGAAGCAAUCGUGUAUUGCUUUCUCUCGAAGUUUUAUUCCCUUAUUGCCAAAGUUCUUGUUGUGUCCCUUCACCCUCUUUUCACCCCGAGCGUUUCAAAUUCUUUCUUGUCUUUCAUGCCUUCUUUCAAGUUUUUCAAACUCCCAAGGUCCUUUGGUAUCACUUCUUUGUCAAAGAAGCAACUUAUAGCUAAAGCUCUUCUUCUUUUUUUCUUUCUGAAUCUUGUGGCGAGACUCUUUUAA
rnacentral:rRNA from 1 species